GGACGGGUGAGUAACACGUGGGUAACCUGCCUGUAAGACUGGGAUAACUCCGGGAAACCGGAGCUAAUACCGGAUAGUUCCUUGAACCGCAUGGUUCAAGGAUGAAAGACGGUUUCGGCUGUCACUUACAGAUGGACCCGCGGCGCAUUAGCUAGUUGGUGAGGUAACGGCUCACCAAGGCGACGAUGCGUAGCCGACCUGAGAGGGUGAUCGGCCACACUGGGACUGAGACACGGCCCAGACUCCUACGGGAGGCAGCAGUAGGGAAUCUUCCGCAAUGGACGAAAGUCUGACGGAGCAACGCCGCGUGAGUGAUGAAGGUUUUCGGAUCGUAAAGCUCUGUUGUUAGGGAAGAACAAGUGCAAGAGUAACUGCUUGCACCUUGACGGUACCUAACCAGAAAGCCACGGCUAACUACGUGCCAGCAGCCGCGGUAAUACGUAGGUGGCAAGCGUUGUCCGGAAUUAUUGGGCGUAAAGGGCUCGCAGGCGGUUUCUUAAGUCUG
rnacentral:rRNA from 1 species